UACGGAGGGUGCAAGCGUUAUCCGGAUUCACUGGGUUUAAAGGGUGCGUAGGUGGGCAAGUAAGUCAGUGGUGAAAUCUCCGGGCUUAACCCGGAAACUGCCAUUGAUACUAUUUGUCUUGAAUACUGUGGAGGUCAGCGGAAUAUGUCAUGUAGCGGUGAAAUGCUUAGAUAUGACAUAGGACACCAAUUGCGAAGGCAGCUGGCUACACAAAUAUUGACACUGAGGCACGAAAGCGUGGGGAUCAAACAGG
rnacentral:rRNA from 1 species